CCUACGGGAGGCAGCAGUAGGGAAUUUUCCGCAAUGGGCGAAAGCCUGACGGAGCAAUACCGCGUGAGGGAUGAAUGCCUAUGGGUUGUAAACCUCUUUUUUCAGGGAGGAACACAAUGACGUGUACCUGAAGAAUAAGCAUCGGCUAACUCCGUGCCAGCAGCCGCGGUAAGACGGAGGAUGCAAGUGUUAUCCGGAAUCACUGGGCGUAAAGCGUCUGUAGGUGGUUUAAUAAGUCAACUGUUAAAUCUUGAGGCUCAACCUCAAAAUCGCAGUCGAAACUAUUAGACUAGAGUAUAGUAGGGGUAAAGGGAAUUUCCAGUGGAGCGGUGAAAUGCGUAGAUAUUGGAAAGAACACCGAUGGCGAAGGCACUUUACUGGGCUAUUACUGACACUCAGAGACGAAAGCUAGGGUAGCAAAUGGGAUUAGAUACCCCGGUAGUC
rnacentral:rRNA from 1 species